rnacentral:lncRNA from 1 species
UCCGGAUAAAUGUGUCCAUUCAUAUUCCUAGGUGUGAGUUUCACAUUAAGCAACAAGAGGAAGAGCAAUGAACACGUUUUUGUAAAUGCAAUUACAAAACCUAACUUUAGUUCCAAGAGAAACAUGUCUCCUAUACAAAAAGAAAGUUCAAGCCCAAAGUCACUAGGUCAGUGUCAUAACUUCCAAUUUCUGCAGCCAGGAUAUGUCUUUAAUCUUCUCUAACUCGUUUCUUAGUAGCCCCAGAAGGAUAUCCGCUCUGAUCCAAUGUGCUAGAACCACCACUCUGCAGUCUCUCAGUUACUGAUGCUUGUGAAAGGUUUGGUGAUGGAGCUGAAGAAGUGUCAGCUUCUGGCAUUGAUGAUGUGCCAGAAGAAGAACCAAUUUUCUUCUCUUGCAUCUUCUGUUGUUGUUUCUCAAUCAUCAUCUGGAGAUACCGACCUUGUUCCUCAAUUUGUAACUGCAACGUUCUUUGGACCUGGCAUUGUAAUAAUACACACAUCAUUAGAUAAAACCUAAACACUAGGAGUCAGAAAAGGAAGAGUAUAAGCUCCUUUUGACGCUGUUGGAAUCAUACCUCAAGUUGCUCAUGGAGUUUUUUCUGAACUUCCAUCUGUAACCGUAGAGCUUCAGUGAUCUCAAUGCUCCUGAAGAAGAAGAAGAAGACAAAUAACAAAAUCGUCAGUAUUAUAAGAACAAACUUCCUUAUGUUUUACAUAGUUUGUUCUGACAGAAAGAACUGAAGUUUAUAGCUUACGUCUUCAAGUCAAGAGAUUUGAUAUCUUCAAUGGUCUUCAAAGUCUUCAGUGGAGGUUUUUCUGUUCAAACAAAGAAACCAAAUUUAGCACAAAUACUUGUUUCCUCACACACACAAGGUCUCUUAGAUUGCAUCAAAGCUAUUUCCAAAGUAGCAUAACCAAAGGCUUUAGUGAAAAAUUGAGAAGAGAGCUUGAUUCAUUAGAUACCUGUAUCUACUGAAAUCUCCGGUUUAUACCUAGCCGUUCUGUAUUUCUGGAGAGAAGUAAAACAAUAUAAAGACGGUUCAGAUUACAAAUGAGAUGAGCUAAAGCAGACAAACCAAAAAUCAGAGAUAAUAAGAACAAAUAAUAACCUGCAAAUGACUUUUGACAUGGUAUAUGGUGAGCCCCGGGUUAUUGAUGAGCUUCAAUACAGCCUUAGGUGUGGCUCCUAUGGUUUUGCAGUUAUAAGAAAUAAUAAGUUUUAGAACUAAAAUGAGAAGAGAGAGAGAAAAGAAAAGGCGCUCACGCACGUUCACUACCGCCGAGCUGAUUAAUAGCAUCAACAAACGCUUCAUGGAGUUCAGGUGUCCAACGCAUUCGUUGCUUAGAUGUAAUUGAACUAGCUUGUGGGCUUUUGGCACUCGAAGGAUCCACCUGAUGCUGAGUACUGACUACUAUCUCUUGCCUAGCUACAUCACAAGAGGGUGCUGGUAUCUGCAACACAUCAUGAGAGUUUUUCUUAAUAAGAAUCUUUAAGCCAGUGAUUUAGCUGCAGAAACAAACCUUUGAAUCUUGGUUGAGGACAUUAGGAUCACCUAGAAGCUCCGACCAAUUAGGUUCCAGACCAUCAUUAUCAACAGAGAUCAUCUGACUAGCCCAGUCUGGCCAUUCGCUUUUCGCUCUGAAUCUCAAUCUCAAUCUCAAUCUCAAUCUCACUGACUUCCUCUUUAAACCAUAUAAUGAUUCAGCAAACGAAGCAUCUGCAAACAAACAAUUCAUUAAAAAAAAAACUAAACUUUAUACACAUUCACACUCCUUCAAGCACAAACACAUUAUAUUCAGAAUCUAACAUGUGGUUCGUAAGCUAUGUCCUUCAAGAACAAGCAUCAGAGCAGCAAAGAACUCAUCCUCGUAGUCUAAGAUUCUGUGAAGAAACGAUCUUCUCAAUGCAAAAACCUACAAAAAAAAAACCAACGAACAUGAAUAUGUAAUAGAAUCUCGAAGCUAAGAAGGAGGAAGAGUUAUUUGAAUUUUACGCCGAGGGAGUAUGUGAGAGCGGCGCGGAGGCUAGAUGGAAGCUGCUGAGCUGCAGCCAUCUCGAAGAAGGUAGGGCGCGUGCCAUCACCUCCUACCUGAAACAGCAUCUUCUUCUUGAUUACUUGAUAAAGGCGAGACCUUUAGCUUUCUCCAGAACUGCAGAAAAGAAAAAAACGUAAUUCGAGAGAGAAUUAUAUUAUUACGUCGUAAAGCCACGUCAGCAACAUUACAAUAGCUGACUCGUCAGCCGACAGUAGUCCAGCUAGACAACGAUUUCUCCAUGUCAUCUCAUCACCAAUUUAAAAUUGUUUAGUUAGGAGUAGGUUCGAUUUUGGUUCGGGUAUUUCUAUUUGUGUAUUUCAAUUUUUAGUUUUCGUUUUUUUUUUCAGAAUUUAAGAACUGUUUGGUUAUUUACAAAAUUCAGUCCGAUUUCGAUUCAGAUUAUUUAAGUUUUUUUGGUUUGGAUAGCAAAAUUUAAAAAACUAGCUAAUAUACGGAAAAAAUUGGAUUUAGUUCGGUUCCGAUUUUUUUGGGUAAUUUUGGAUAAUACAGAUGAAAACAUGGAAUAAUUCGAAUUUUCAUAUUAAAUACUAGAUAAUUUAGUUUGUUUGAAAAUAAAAUAGGUAAAAACUAUUCGGAUAACUCGGGCUUUUAAGUAUUUUGGUUCAUAAACAUUAUUUUAGGAUAUUUAGGUUCGAUUUUAUUUUUGUUCGAAAUAUAUAAAAACCGUCUAAAUAUUUAUGAAAUAUAGAUCGGUUUCAAUUAUUUUGAGUUGGUAUGGUUUAAUUUUUUUUGUUCCGGAUAAAUGUGUCCAUUCAUAUUCCUAGGUGUGAGUUUCACAUUAAGCAACAAGAGGAAGAGCAAUGAACACGUUUUUGUAAAUGCAAUUACAAAACCUAACUUUAGUUCCAAGAGAAACAUGUCUCCUAUACAAAAAGAAAGUUCAAGCCCAAAGUCACUAGGUCAGUGUCAUAACUUCCAAUUUCUGCAGCCAGGAUAUGUCUUUAAUCUUCUCUAACUCGUUUCUUAGUAGCCCCAGAAGGAUAUCCGCUCUGAUCCAAUGUGCUAGAACCACCACUCUGCAGUCUCUCAGUUACUGAUGCUUG